UGAAACCAAAACUGCAGCCCGCCU
rnacentral:siRNA from 1 species